CCUUGUUUGAGACUCAUAACUAUACUUCCUUAGGAUAUGAAACGUUUAGAAAGUUGUUUAUAAAGGUGUAAACCUAACUACCCCAUGUGAGGUUACAAUAUGUACCAACGUAGUUUAGCUGGAUUGCUUUGCUGCAUUGCUAACUUUAGUUAUCAUAUGGGAUACAGUACAACCUGCUUUUGAGGGCGCUUGUAGUGAUUUAUCUUUUGCAUUGUCAGUGAUGGACAGAACAGCUUUUGAACACGCGACGGGGAUCGGCCCUUUGGAACUGAGGCUUGCUUGGAGUCCAAGUUUGUUCUUCAGCGAUGAAACGGGCCCAGAGCAGCAGAGACGACCUCGUGCCUGGCUUUGGGAGAGGGAAAGAUACGAUCAAUAAUUUGCACCAACUGGGAUCUUGAGGAGAGCAGUGAAGCAGGAUGAACUGAGCCACAGCUAACAAUGCAAUGAGAAAACCCUUCACUCAGGAACCGGAGACCGAGUCCACCGAGAGGAGAACGGUCAGAGAGAGUGCGUUUCAACUGGAGCCUGGCAGAGCACAAGAACUCCAGGACUGAUGAAUUUAUAUUUAAUAGCAG